UGUGAGCUCGAUGAGUAGGGCGGGACACGUGGUAUCCUGUCUGAAUAUGGGGGGACCAUCCUCCAAGGCUAAAUACUCCUGACUGACCGAUAGUGAACCAGUACCGUGAGGGAAAGGCGAAAAGAACCCCGGCGAGGGGAGUGAAAAAGAACCUGAAACCGUGUACGUACAAGCAGUGGGAGCACGCUUAGGCGUGUGACUGCGUACCUUUUGUAUAAUGGGUCAGCGACUUAUAUUCUGUAGCAAGGUUAACCGAAUAGGGGAGCCGAAGGGAAACCGAGUCUUAACUGGGCGUUAAGUUGCAGGGUAUAGACCCGAAACCCGGUGAUCUAGCCAUGGGCAGGUUGAAGGUUGGGUAACACUAACUGGAGGACCGAACCGACUAAUGUUGAAAAAUUAGCGGAUGACUUGUGGCUGGGGGUGAAAGGCCAAUCAAACCGGGAGAUAGCUGGUUCUCCCCGAAAGCUAUUUAGGUAGCGCCUCGUGAAUUCAUCUCCGGGGGUAGAGCACUGUUUCGGCAAGGGGGUCAUCCCGACUUACCAACCCGAUGCAAACUGCGAAUACCGGAGAAUGUUAUUACGGGAGACACACGGCGGGUGCUAACGUCCGUCGUGAAGAGGGAAACAACCCAGACCGCCAGCUAAGGUCCCAAAGUCAUGGUUAAGUGGGAAACGAUGUGGGAAGGCCCAGACAGCCAGGAUGUUGGCUUAGAAGCAGCCAUCAUUUAAAGAAAGCGUAAUAGCUCACUGGUCGAGUCGGCCUGCGCGGAAGAUGUAACGGGGCUAAACCAUGCACCGAAGCUGCGGCAGCGACGCUUAUGCGUUGUUGGGUAGGGGAGCGUUCUGUAAGCCUGUGAAGGUGUGCUGUGAGGUAUGCUGGAGGUAUCAGAAGUGCGAAUGCUGACAUAAGUAACGAUAAAGCGGGUGAAAAGCCCGCUCGCCGGAAGACCAAGGGUUCCUGUCCAACGUUAAUCGGGGCAGGGUGAGUCGACCCCUAAGGCGAGGCCGAAAGGCGUAGUCGAUGGGAAACAGGUUAAUAUUCCUGUACUUGGUGUUACUGCGAAGGGGGGACGGAGAAGGCUAUGUUGGCCGGGCGACGGUUGUCCCGGUUUAAGCGUGUAGGCUGGUUUUCCAGGCAAAUCCGGAAAAUCAAGGCCGAGGCGUGAUGACGAGGCACUACGGUGCUGAAGCAACAAAUGCCCUGCUUCCAGGAAAAGCCUCUAAGCAUCAGGUAACAUCAAAUCGUACCCCAAACCGACACAGGUGGUCAGGUAGAGAAUACCAAGGCGCUUGAGAGAACUCGGGUGAAGGAACUAGGCAAAAUGGUGCCGUAACUUCGGGAGAAGGCACGCUGAUACGUAGGUGAAGCGACUUGCUCGUGGAGCUGAAAUCAGUCGAAGAUACCAGCUGGCUGCAACUGUUUAUUAAAAACACAGCACUGUGCAAACACGAAAGUGGACGUAUACGGUGUGACGCCUGCCCGGUGCCGGAAGGUUAAUUGAUGGGGUUAGCGCAAGCGAAGCUCUUGAUCGAAGCCCCGGUAAACGGCGGCCGUAACUAUAACGGUCCUAAGGUAGCGAAAUUCCUUGUCGGGUAAGUUCCGACCUGCACGAAUGGCGUAAUGAUGGCCAGGCUGUCUCCACCCGAGACUCAGUGAAAUUGAACUCGCUGUGAAGAUGCAGUGUACCCGCGGCAAGACGGAAAGACCCCGUGAACCUUUACUAUAGCUUGACACUGAACAUUGAGCCUUGAUGUGUAGGAUAGGUGGGAGGCUUUGAAGUGUGGACGCCAGUCUGCAUGGAGCCGACCUUGAAAUACCACCCUUUAAUGUUUGAUGUUCUAACGUGGACCCGUGAUCCGGGUUGCGGACAGUGUCUGGUGGGUAGUUUGACUGGGGCGGUCUCCUCCUAAAGAGUAACGGAGGAGCACGAAGGUUGGCUAAUCCUGGUCGGACAUCAGGAGGUUAGUGCAAUGGCAUAAGCCAGCUUGACUGCGAGCGUGACGGCGCGAGCAGGUGCGAAAGCAGGUCAUAGUGAUCCGGUGGUUCUGAAUGGAAGGGCCAUCGCUCAACGGAUAAAAGGUACUCCGGGGAUAACAGGCUGAUACCGCCCAAGAGUUCAUAUCGACGGCGGUGUUUGGCACCUCGAUGUCGGCUCAUCACAUCCUGGGGCUGAAGUAGGUCCCAAGGGUAUGGCUGUUCGCCAUUUAAAGUGGUACGCGAGCUGGGUUUAGAACGUCGUGAGACAGUUCGGUCCCUAUCUGCCGUGGGCGCUGGAGAACUGAGGGGGGCUGCUCCUAGUACGAGAGGACCGGAGUGGACGCAUCACUGGUGUUCGGGUUGUCAUGCCAAUGGCACUGCCCGGUAGCUAAAUGCGGAAGAGAUAAGUGCUGAAAGCAUCUAAGCACGAAACUUGCCCCGAGAUGAGUUCUCCCUGACCCUUUAAGGGUCCUGAAGGAACGUUGAAGACGACGACGUUGAUAGGCCGGGUGUGUAAGCGCAGCGAUGCGUUGAGCUAACCGGUACUAAUGAACCGUGAGGCUUAACCUUACAACGCCGAAG
rnacentral:rRNA from 1 species